rnacentral:rRNA from 1 species
UACAGAGGGUGCAAGCGUUGCUCGGAUUUAUUGGGCGUAAAGAGCUCGUAGGCGGCUUGUUGCGUCGACUGUGAAAACCUGCAGCUUAACUGUGGGCUUGCGGUCGAUACGGGCAUCACUGGAGUUCGGCAGGGGAGACUGGAAUUCCUGGUGUAGCGGUGAAAUGCGCAGAUAUCAGGAGGAACACCGGUGGCGAAGGCGGGUCUCUGGGCCGAUACUGACGCUGAGGAGCGAAAGCGUGGGGAGCGAACAGG